CACCACUGUAUGGGGUGGCAUAAGCAGAGUAAUGUAACCCAAUCUGCAAAAUCCUUUCUCCCUGAUGCAUGCUAUUGCUCUCAGCAACUGAGUACAAUGGAGCCACACAGAAGGAGGACUUUUUUCACACAGCUAUGAUUUCUUCUCUUGGAGGGGGAUACAGUCUGAAGAAAUGUUCAGGGAAAAUGAAUUCCACCAGAGCAGUCUUGACGUUGAGCAAGGACUCGGCCAUGUGUGAAGGAGGG